rnacentral:rRNA from 1 species
UGGGGAAUAUUGCACAAUGGGCGCAAGCCUGAUGCAGCCAUGCCGCGUGUAUGAAGAAGGCCUUCGGGUUGUAAAGUACUUUCAGUCGGGAGGAAGGUGUCAAGGUUAAUAACCUUGGCAAUUGACGUUACCGACAGAAGAAGCACCGGCUAACUCCGUGCCAGCAGCCGCGGUAAUACGGAGGGUGCAAGCGUUAAUCGGAAUUACUGGGCGUAAAGCGCACGCAGGCGGUUGAUUGAGUCAGAUGUGAAAUCCCCGGGCUUAACCCGGGAAUUGCAUCUGAUACUGGUCAGCUAGAGUCUUGUACAGGGGGGUAGAAUUCCAUGUGUAGCGGUGAAAUGCGUAGAGAUGUGGAGGAAUACCGGUGGCGAAGGCGGCCCCCUGGACAAAGACUGACGCUCAGGUGCGAAAGCGUGGGGAGCAAACAGG